rnacentral:rRNA from 1 species
CGAAUGCUGACAUAAGUAACGAUAAAGCGGGUGAAAAGCCCGCUCGCCGGAAGACCAAGGGUUCCUGUCCAACGUUAAUCGGGGCAGGGUGAGUCGACCCCUAAGGCGAGGCCGAAAGGCGUAGUCGAUGGGAAACAGGUUAAUAUUCCUGUACUUGGUGUUACUGCGAAGGGGGGACGGAGAAGGCUAUGUUGGCCGGGCGACGGUUGUCCCGGUUUAAGCGUGUAGGCUGGUUUUCCAGGCAAAUCCGGAAAAUCAAGGCUGAGGCGUGAUGACGAGGCACUACGGUGCUGAAGCAACAAAUGCCCUGCUUCCAGGAAAAGCCUCUAAGCAUCAGGUAACAUCAAAUCGUACCCCAAACCGACACAGGUGGUCAGGUAGAGAAUACCAAGGCGCUUGAGAGAACUCGGGUGAAGGAACUAGGCAAAAUGGUGCCGUAACUUCGGGAGAAGGCACGCUGAUAUGUAGGUGAAGUCCCUCGCGGAUGGAGCUGAAAUCAGUCGAAGAUACCAGCUGGCUGCAACUGUUUAUUAAAAACACAGCACUGUGCAAACACGAAAGUGGACGUAUACGGUGUGACGCCUGCCCGGUGCCGGAAGGUUAAUUGAUGGGGUUAGCGCAAGCGAAGC